GAGCGGGCAGCCGCGGCGGCUGCGCGCUGCGGCGCGGCCGUGGGACGGGAGCGGCGCUGAGCCCCCCGGGCCCGCCGGGGGCGGCACCGGCACCGGCGCCGCCGCAGCCAGCCGGGUUUUGCCCCGCGUUCAGCAAGCAGCCCCGCGGCCCUGGGGCGCGACGCAUACACCCGCGCAGCGCCGGGCUCCCGAGCGGCCCCGCAGCCGCGCAGCGCCGGCGUCGGGGUAAAGCCGCCGCAGUGAAUUAAAAGCGGCGGCGAUGUGAGGCAGCCCUCUAAUGCGGAGUGACAAAUUGCACUUAGGCAAUACAUGAACGAGAAAAUGAUUUAUGGAUUUUCACGAUGGUCUGAGCAAAUGAAGGCGACGUGAAUUAUACAUCCUAAUGUGCACUAUAUCACUUUCUAAUAAUACUGUUUCAGUUCUGAUGCUGUACGCGGCUUUCUUCGAUAGGGGGUAUUGAUUAAAUAAAAAGUCCAAGGGCUAUCUUUAAACUGGACGUGUAUCUUUUGCAGGCACCAGCUGAGGUUUAUAUAUUUACUUAUUGCUAAAGCAAGGGGCAAUUGUCAGACCCCUGACACCGUGGCUCAUAGUUUUCCCAUCUGUCAUCAUUUAAUUUGGCAGUUGCUUCACCAAAUGAAGACUAAUCUUUCAUAUCGCUGCAUUUCGCUCCAUGCUGCGAUUUAGAAAUGUAAAUAAAUGACAUCAGGUUCGAUAAAUCCACCAGGCGGACAGGAGUAGCACCUUGGUAAGUCCAACCUUUCCUCCCUGCCACAACCCUCACAUGUCUCCUUGGCACCCCAAAUACCGUGACCACCAGAACGGGCAUUUUAUAGCAAGGGGAACAUGUGAUAAAUAAUGUUCUUGCUUGGCUAGAACUUUCCUCUCACUUCCAUCUACUGAAUGGCACUGAUUUUCUUAAAGACUUUGCAUUUGACUCAUGCACACCAGAAGAGAGAAUCAGGACAAAAAAACCCCCUGUGAGUACGUGCGUGUAAAGGGAGGGAGAGCUGUCAGAUAGGGAGGUGGCUUAACCCCAGAUUCAGCCUGUGUUAGAGUGCGGUGUGGAGGCCCCAAAGCGUAGGGUGCCCACGGUCUCGUUUUGCCCUACAGCCCACAGAACAGUGACAUAAACUAUGAAUAGUCCCAGUUAUUUCAAAGGUUCCUAGGGUAAAUUAUCACUGAACAGUAACAAGGGUAAGCAAGACCAGCCCUUCCAUGAACAGUUGCAGAAGAGAGCUGGGGAAGCUGGAGGCAGAGGAUUAAUGUAUUCACCUGGGGGCUAAUUUGGCGAGCAUUGGCGAGGGGUGAAGAAACACUUCAUUUCUCAUUACCCAAAUGAAGCUUUUCCAUCGUUCAGACACAAAAGGAGUCACAGAAGUCAAAGAUGCCCAAAUGCUGCAUUUUGGACUGAACAAUUGUUUUUCUAACCUGGACAAAUAUAGUUAUGGCAGUAGAAAGCUAAUACCAAUUGUUCAAUGCAAUUGCCAAGAUGAUCUUCUGGUUCUGUUUUAGAUAUCAGUCUUGGUCAGCCUCUUUAUUGUUUGGCUUUUAAAAAUGUGCUUAGAUUUUUGGAUUUGGUUCUCUCUCCCUCCCCCCCGGAAAGUCUUAGAUUGUCAUUACUUGGUAUAAUUUUAAUUAUCUGGAUUUAAAAACAAAAACAAAACCCACCCAGGUCCUCUUCUGAGAGAAUUAAUAACAGCUCUUAGCGCAGGAAAGAUUACUGGAAUCAAUGAUGUGAUUAGGAUUGUAAAUAAGAACUAAAAGAUGUCACCAUUAGAAAAAGCCCGCUUUGCUAACAGGAAAAUGGGUAUGUUUUACUCAUAGGGCCAUAGGCUGAAAAUCCUGCUUCAAACGUAGGUCGAAACAGAACAAUUUCAGGAAUUAGCUAAGAGGCCUGAUUAAGGUUAUUUGUGUCAGAGGGAAAGGUUUGCUGCCACCACUCCCUCAGUGGGUUUCGUUCUUAAUUGCCGAUGAGGAGACAGAACAGGAAGACCGGACCGUUUGGCUAAUCAAUAAAAAAGAGCCUGCCUUUGUGUUUGUCUGAGGAGCGCUCCCCGGGCUGGAUCAAUACUGCAGCCACCAAAGUUCUCGCAGAGGUCACCAGCGACCAGGACGGUUUCUGCUGGCUUUCUAAGCACCACCAAAGCCAAGCAUCUGCAGCAAGCUUGCAAAUGCAAGCAGAGUUGGAGAUACGAUGUUAAUCAUCACCCUCAUGCUUAUGGGAGGAUUCCAGGUGAUAAAAACAACUUGUUGUAUUUAUGGCCUUAGACAGCUGUUUUAAUAAAUGAAGAUGAAGUAUUACUUCGUUAUGUGCCCUGUACUGCACUAGUGAUCAAAUACAAUGGAGCCUCUCCAGAAGGCGCUGGGAGUCUUUCUAAAUAAGAAUUACAGUGGACGCACUGCAGAUAACAGCCCUUUAGGGAAUUGUGAAGGCCAGCUUAUGCCUCCUUUCUCUUGCCCCCUAAACAUUAGCACAGAUUUCAUCAAGACACCUCAAGCAAUAAGAAGCCACUGAGUGUAAAGAAAGUAGAGCGCAGUCCAUCGCUGUUAUGCCACUUUCUCCAGCUUUCAGGCAGAUUUGAUCAUAAUGUUUAUGAAAAAAAGAAGAAAAAAACCUAAUUCCAGUCUAUUUUGAUGACUUGUGAUUUUAGCUGAUUCAAGUCUUUUUGUGUCUGCCUCAAGAUAAUUAUAAAAGCUCCGAUUUUCCACAGUUACUAGAAUUUUCUAGCAACUGGGUUUUUUUUUUUUAAAGUGCCUCCAUCAGAGCACCAAGUCAUUCAGAACCCCCCCCUCACUUCUGCAUGUCUGGCUAAUGCUAACCAAAGUACAUUAGGUCAGAUUCCUAUAAGCUUGCCUCAUGCUUUGUAAUCUUUAUCUAUUCAUUAAUUAGUGGCAAAUCUGACAAAAUUGAACUUGUUUAUGGUGGCAUUACAGAUGCAGUCUGUACCAGUGGAAAUGGCUUUACGCAAGGUCAUCAGCCAAAAUAAAAUACAUAUUCCUUUUAGUUCAUCUGUUUACUUGUAGAAGAGAGAUGACAUCUCUGUAUGGCACUUACCUAAUACAAGAUAUUUCUUCACAAAAUGCUUUUUAGUAAGGCAAAUUACUUACGUAAGUAGAAUUUUCAGAAAGAUCUUUAACUCCAUAGUUAGAAAACUGGUACUCAUCAGGUGAGAAGCAAGAGUAUUUUCACAUUUAUCAAGACAGGCAUCAUGAAGUCAUGAUUUUCUUUUUUUCUUUUUUUUUUUUUUAUGAUAUGGUUCAGCCAACUGCACCCACUUUUUUGAACUUAUUUAAAGUACAAUUGACCUGUAUCUGAAUUUAACAAAUGCUGCUAAGCUUGAAUGAUUACUAGUGCAAAUGAGGACAAAACUGCAGUGGAAAACUCCAGUUGCUUGAGAUGCUGUUAAGCUUCUUAUUAUGCACUGAAAGCCAUAGGUAGAUGUAGUUACUUAUGAUAAAGAAAAUUGUUUUGUUGAUUUUCUUUUCAACAGCAAGUUCAAGCCUUGAACUAAGGCAUAGCUUGUUUUGAGGUCAGCUUGAAAGUAGUGGUUAAAAACAUAAAACUUUUAUUUAUGCUUGACAGAACAACAACAACAACAAAAAAUACCCAGACUCUUUGCUCAGAAGAAUUUGUAGUUUGGGGCAUGUUUUUCACAUAUUUAAUCCUCAGCCUAGUUCUAUCAUACAAGUUAUCUCACUAACUAUAUUGCAGGAAACAAUAGCUAGGAAGCAAAAGGAGUAAGAUGAGGACAAUGAUGUUAUAUAGUCACUUGAGAAGAGAGCACACAUCUGUAUUUUUAUAAUUAUUCUAGAUGGAACUACUUUCAUUGCCAAUAGUUCAGACUGCAUUUUCCUAUUUGAAUCUUCCCAUGAUAAGACCAUACACUGAUACUUGUUUUUUUUCUCCCCCUCAAACUUGAAUCAGCAAGUGCCAGCUUUUCCAUAGUGUUAGCCAUCUUGAUUUGAAUAUUUGAGAAAGUUCCAGCUGGAAAGUGGCUUACUUAUUUAUGGGGCAAUAAUCAAGGAAAAUAAAGUAUUUUGUCAAUGCUAAAAAUAUUACAACAUUCAAUUCAGAAAUUUUACCACCUCCACAUUUUGGAAGAGUGACUUUAGCAGAUAGCAGAUGGAGGUCUCGAAAGUGCUUUUUACCAUUCUCAGGAAGAUAUACGAAAGCAAUAAGUUCCUGAAAAGCAUCAGCACACACACUCUUAGAAACUUGUAAUUUGGGUCCUUCAAGGACCUGUGUUAGGCAUAUCCUCUCACAACUCCUGCUUAGUGACAAGAUGGCAUGGCAGCAGCUAAACAAGUUCAUAUGUUUCACACAAUUUCUGUGGAGGGUGAACACUAUUUUCCUCAGAAUAAUUAUUUCCAGGGUGUUGCAGGCCCCUGUAGAGCUGGAUAUAAAUUCUAAUCUAUAUUAUCCAUACGCUUAGUAUACAUGCUGCUGGUAGGAAAGCAGGAGAAAGGAGAGAAAGAAAAGCAUGCAUGCAGAAACGUAUAACAGCAAGGAAAGAAGGUCACAAGAACAAAAGUACAAAGAAAUGACUAAGAAUGUGGAAGUGCAGCAAAACAGCAUGAGAGAAAAAUGAAAAAAAGAGGAUUCCAUAUAUAUAUAUACACAAGCAGUCUAUAACCGCACAAAUAAAUACCCUACCAGACUUUUCAGCAGCUUCCUAAAUUUCUGCAGCCCCAUAAAAAAAGCUGUCUCAGUGCUUCCUCUUACCCUUUUAUCAGCAGGCUUCACAUAUGCAUGUGGAAAAGGCUCACAACUGCUGGCUAUUAAUUACGUGAAGUAGCAGUAGUCGGAGCUAUAGAUCUCAAUGGUCCGCACUCCACUCAUUAUGCAAGCUGGGGCCUGGUGUUGCUACAAUUACUGGUUUUCAAUUAAGAAAUCAAAACAAAAGAUUGUCUCCACAGUCCAGUUGCUUUGUCCAUGCUAAGCCGGGGCUCUCUGGGGGCUGCACCAGCCCGGCAGCCAGCGCCUCACGCAGCUGCAAGGUUGCUCUUAUCAGCAAUAUCUUGCAGCUAUGAGGGACAGCGAUGAUAUGCGUCACUCAGCAAAACUGUGGAGAAAUCAUUAACAAAGUAUGAAAGCUGCAAAAUCAGACUUAAUAAAUGUUAGAUUUAAAAGUUAACUGAUGAUGUUACUUCUAAUGUGCCUAUACUUUAUGGUGAUCUUGUAUUAAAAGAUCCUUCUCUGUCCCCAAGUUCUGCAAUUUGCUUGUUGGAAUGGGGGACUGUAACAGAUUUUUAUUCUGUGGCAAGAUCUUUUCCAAGAAAACUUUUGCUGCUUGAUCAGUGUACACGAUGAGCAGCGCUGACAAUGUUGAAUCAGAGCUGUUCAGUACCUGCAGGACAUCAGCCUCUGUUACAGUAUACACUGCAUGAGGUAGGUAAAACCAGGCAGACAAAGAAUGAUCUUACAGCAAAUAUGUUGAAUGCCAUCUAUUAUUGUGUUAACGUAUGUAACAUGUGCCUCCGUUCCUUAGUUUUAAGAGGGGGUAUAAUAAUAUUGCCACAUGUAUUUUGACAUGAAUUGAUGAAUACGUUUAAAGCACUUGGGUAUGAUGGGGAGAGCCCAGGAGUAUAAUUUUAUUGAAAGUUUGCAUGAUAUACAUUAAAGAAGUCUGCAGUCACAUGUGACUUUCUCGUAACAUGCCCACAACAAGCAGCUGAAUCACACCUGUUUACUUUAAUACUCAUGUUUUCUCAUUUUGCAGGCUUUACGAUGCAAAUCCUUUUGAAGUAACACAUGCAUAUACAAUCGUAUACAUAUGCACAUAUGUAAUUACAUGAACCUUGAUGUUGAACUUGAAAAGAAAUGACAGUACUGCAAUACAUGCUUGCGGGGGGGUGGUGCAGAUGCAAUCGAGUCCAGCAGGAGCCACGGCCAAUACAAGAUUGAUCCUGCCUCUCAUGAGAAACAAGGUCCUAUUCAAAGCAACUCCAAGCUCAGGGGAGGCCAAUCAACUCUGCCACUCGAGGCUGAAAAACGUUACCGCUGUGGAUGGCAGGGACACGCCACCCUGGUGGAGCUCGGCACAGGAGCCCUGUGGCCUUGGUGGCUGCCCCUCAUGGCCACGAAACGCCGGCGUGAGGUCCCGCUACUGUGCGAGGUGAGCGUGCCCGUUCAGGAGAGGCAGCCUCUCGGCACCCCUGCCGUGCUCGGCGCUCCAGCAGAGCUGUGAUCUAUAGCAGCUGCUGCUUUUAAUGGAUGGUCCGGCUUAUCUUACGGCUGGGGGAGGCAGCAGCUGGAUCGCCAAAGCUCCACGUAAUGCCCAUGCAAGGAGAGGAGCUCUGCUUAUUACAAUUAAAAGCAGUGAUGCGAUGCAUUGCCACAAAAUAGUCAGUACUGAUACGCAGUCACAAGAGAAAUGUCCGUCCACAGGACGCAGGGAGCUGACUUAGCGAAGUAACCACCUAAGUGGGGAAAAAGGUAAAACAAGCGCUGUGAUAACUCUGCUUGAGCCAAACAUGAAAGUAAAGGGAUUUUCAGAAAAAGGAGAGAAAAGGAAGAUAACACAGGAAGGACUUAAGUUAUGGAGAAUGUAAAAUGAAAGAAUGAGUCAUGUAAAUGCGAUUUAGGGUAGAGUGGGAAGUUGAUAGAAAUCUUGUAGGCUUGGAUUUUCCUAGCUUUGAAAAACAUUCAAGAGUAUGCUGAUUUUCAGUGAUUAUCAGAGAUUUCCCUGUAGUUGGGGGAAACUUGGUGAAAGGGAACAGGUGCUUCCUGCAAAAAGUAGGAUGAAGAGCAGAGUGGGAGCAUUUUGUGUGGUCUGCUAUUGGCAUUAGCAGUGGAAAGUCUCCUCUGGGAGGACGCGUUGGAAGCACUCCUCCGCAGCUCUCCCAUGAUGCUGCAACAUUAUGCAGUGAGGAUUCAGGGAGCACUUGUGUCCCACAGUUUCCACUGCUCUGUAGUCUCUGAAAAGAAUUUAAAGUUGGUCAGAAACUAGUUUAGAAUGUUCAUUUUGCUGUAAAAAAAGGUAUAUAUACUUUUGACACUUUGCCAUGUUUGGCUCAGCACAGAGAGGAGCCAGGGCACAAUUAGGAGGGAAGAAACAGCCUUUAUGGAAUCACCAAAAUGCCAAUAAAUAGCUUCAGAAAUGCUAUUCUUAUUGUAGGCAAAGGUAGGAACACCAAAAAAAUAAUUUUAUACAUUGAUUUUGCAAUAUAACAGGCUUACGAGGCAAUAUUCUAGAAUGUUAACUGAAAAUCCUUGACCAGAAUUCAGAAAACUUUAGCAUCACCAAAGUCCUUUAUCUACAGAACAGUAUGUAUAAAACUGAUAAGUUUUAACGCUGCUUUUUAGAAUUUUCAGCAAGCAGUAAAUAUUCUUAACCACCUUGCGUAGUGGUCUCUGUGGGAAGAGGGAGGAUAAUACCUGAUUGUUAUUCCAGUCUGAAAAAACACAAAAAAUGUGGCUAGAAAAAAUAUAUGCAUCUAACCUUUUUUUUUUCCCUUUCCUGCUGAAGUGACCUCUCUUGGUAAUAAUCUGACUUUGGAAAGUUCUAGAAGUUACUGCUAUAAUAAAACAGUUUCCAGAGUUUAUGUAUUUUUAGGGAAUGGCAAAAAUAACCAUUUGAUGUACUACUAAAAUUAAAAGACUGAGGCUUGUACCCUUGCUUUGUGGUGGUGGUGAUUUAGAAGAACUGUUUUAUCUUUCUGUGCCUCAGUCUUUACGUAUGUAUAAUGAGGAUAGUAGUAUUCCUCCCCUAUGAAAAACUUCUUCAGAUACAUGAGUGAGAAGGUCCUAGGCAGGAAUUGGACUUCAUUCAUAUCUGAGAAGUGUUCUCCGUAAGUGCGCCCAGUGAAAUGAGACCCAAGUGGGGAUGUCUGCUCUGGGCAUCCUAGCAGCAGAAGUUUGGGAACUUUAUCACAGAAACUUGGUAUGGUUUGGCAGUACAAAAAAUUCAGUGUUAGAGCUUCAGUGAUACAUCAAAAAUGCUGUGGUCAUGGCUAAAAUACAGCCUGAUAUAAACACAUUUGGCUUGUUCCAAUGUUUUCAAAAUAUAUAAAUAAGUUAAUUUUGUAGUGGCAGGAUUUACUGUUUGUACACAUCAAUAUAACUGGAUGCUGGAUAAGUAUCACCUGUCUUGACUUGGAACUGUAUGUUCAAUAUUGCUUGAUUUGUUUAAUUUUUGGAAAUGUGCUUGUAUGAUUAACUUGAAUUGGAUCCACCUUGUUACUGCUGGAUGAUCAGAUAUCAAAUAUAUUACCCAUGCACUCAUGUAUAGAAGAUGAUAAUUGUUUAUCAGUGUUCUAAAAAACCUAGUCUGAGUUUAUUAAAGCACCUAUAGAAUUAGAAUAGAGGUUUCCUCUGUAGCAUCUGGUCACCAGAUGUGACGUUAGGCUAUUAAAGUCUUCAGUUUGUGAGAGUGGUAGAAAAAAAUCAACAAAAUGGUUUAACCUUUCUGUCUGUGAGAACAACAUAACUUAGGUAGCGGUUCUACUCCCAUUUUAAUCACUGGUUUUUUUGGCACUGAUUUUCACUUGAGACAAUGAGAUCGUGCUUGUAGAUAGGGCUUCAUUUGACCUGAAAAUUUGUGUGUGUUUGUCAGCCAGUGGACAUCAGUUCUUUAAUCAUGUUUUUUUCUCAUUCAGGAACAGUAGGAACUUAUUCCCUCUGGCCAGAAAUGCACUGCAAAUGGUAGAAGCUUUGCCUGAAAUAAGGAAUGCUUGGUAUCCAACUUGUAUAUGUUUUAGUUAACAUGUUUUGGUAUCAUAUACCUUAUUUUUAUCAUUUGAUGCUAUUUUCAUUUUUCUGCCUCUCUCUAUCAUAUAUGUACCUGUACACACAGACAUGCAUACAAACAGAAGUACAGUUACAGAAGUCUGACCCUGCAUUUACUGAACACCUGAAAUUCUGAGGAAAAGGCAGUAGGUAGUACUUACAUGCAGGAAAAACAGAAUCAGGACACCAGAACCAGCAAAAUGCAGGGCAUAUUUUAAAGGGAAAAAGUUGUCCCACUCCAUGGAAUUUGAGAAAUAAAUUUUGGUUCAAAAUCAGACUGCUAGAUAAAAUAGUAAUCAGUUUCGCUGUGAAUGGUGAUACAUCUUAAAACAAGGAACCAUGCUUCUAUGUCUCAUUUUAUUUUCCUUUUGCUUCCUCAGCCCAAAUGAAUUGGAUUACGUUGUGGAGCAAAAUGCUGGAAGUUUCCAUUUUAAAAAUUGCAGAAAGUAAAGCAGAUAGAAAUAAAGCAUGUUUUACUUUUUAUUUUCUUUUUCUUUUUUAUGGAGGUUAUAGGCAGAGUGGUUUCUUAUAGCUUUAAACUGAGUUGUUAGGAGCUGUUAUUCUUAUGGAGUCACUAUGGACCAGAUCCAAAGUUGUUUGAGUGAAUGGCAAGAUUUCCAGCGAUUUCACUGUUCUUUUGAUCAGGUCCUUAAUCUUCUGGGAAGUGCUGGGUUUAAUAGGACUAUUGUGUGUGUGGUGCUGACAGUGUACGGAGUUUGCUUUUGUGUUUAAAUGAGAAGAAGAUGGAGAUUUACUAACUGAUUGUCUGAGAUGUUUAGCAUUCAAGGACCAUCUGGAUUGUUAGUCCUGGAAAAUUUAUUUUAUUGCUCCGUUUAUUUCACCUGAGGAUCCAACCUGAAAAAGCAGAUUACCAAGCUGCAAGCAAGGUCUCAUUAUGUUUCUCAGCUGUGUUACUUCAAUUUUUUUCUGAAGAGGCCUACUUUAAGAGGCCUUGUUUUCUAAGCACAUGGACUGCUUUGUAUCUUGACCUGCUAAUAAAUGCCAGCUAGUACUAA